ACCUUUCAGCACAGGAGGUGUAGGGCGCACAUAGAGGAGAAACGCGGUGCACUCUGCUAUGUAAAGGGAUUUCGGGGUUCACUGAGUCAUCGAAAUUUUGAACGCAUAUGGCACUUUCGGGGUAUCCCCGGAAGAAUGCCCGUAUCGCUGUGCCGUAC
rnacentral:rRNA from 1 species